rfam:Sus scrofa isolate TJ Tabasco breed Duroc chromosome 16, whole genome shotgun sequence.
GUCUAAGGCCAUACCCCCUCGAACACGCCCGAUCUCCUCCGAUCUCGGAAUCUAAGCAGGGUCGGGCUGGUUGGUACUUUGAUGGCAGAAAUGCAUGACUGGAGGAU